GCUUGCGAUGAAGCCACUGCUCUCGUGGAAUGAGCUUGAAUUCCUAAGGGCGAAACGAACCCACAUGCCUCAUAGGCUAAGUAUAUAACCUCCUCCAGCCACUGGAACAUGCAUUGCUUUGUGACAGCACAACCUUAUUUUACUCCAGAAACAAAUGAACAGCUGUUCGGACUAACGCCAUCGGGCUGUACGAUCAACAUAGAUCUUAAGCGCCCUACAGGACAAAGGCUUAGAUCUCCUAACCCCACCUCCGUUGGGAAGAAAGCCUCCAAGACCACCUGCUGGAACUGGAAGCGAAAAAGGAUUUGAAGCGACCUUAGGGACAUAGUCAGGCCUUGGUCACAGCAAACUUUCACAAAUCCUGGUGCAAAAUCCAUGCGAAGGUGAAAUAGACAGAGCUUAUAAAUCCACAACUCUCUUGAGGGAGGAUAAAGCUAACAGUAGGACUGUCUUUAGAGUCAGGUUUUUUUUUAUCAAGGGCUCCAACGGAUGUCCUGAUAAUCCUCAUAAUACAAAAGAUAGAUCCCAUGAUAGAACUCGCGAAGGGAAGAAAGGCUGCAGCACGUCACAAACCCUGCUGCGUCCGAAAUCGAAGACUUCUCUACUAUAUAGUGUGGAAAAAGCAGUAUGCGACAAAUUAGUAAUUUGAAUCUUUUGCGUUCAAAGAGUAGGCGAGAAUUACAAUAACUCUCGCGAGAUUCAGUUGUACUAUACUUAAUUUGCGUUCUAAUAUGCCUACUCACCUACUAUAUAGUAGGGAAAAGAGUAUGUGAAGAAAGAAGUACGUUAGAAACCUUAAACCAUAAAACAGUAGGCGAGUAAUCCCCGGAUGUCCUACUGCUUCAGCGAAGAUUCUGAAGGGUCCAUCGAGGGAUACUUUUCAAUCCCAGAAUGCCACGCGAAAGGGAUAAAUCGUAAUCGAACGUGAAGGAGAGCAGCGUAGAGGGUGUUUACAAAGGGACAGAUGAGACACACGUGUAUUUAUCUGCUGAAGAGAGACUGAUGAAGGAAUGCUGGCCUCAAAGAUUCUCAAUCUUUUGUGGUGGACAGGUGACAGCAGCAUCUGUGGAAAAAACCUGAAAGAAAAAUCCAAAAGGAUCUGAAAUGUCUGCAGACAGCUGUGUGCACUGAGGAUGGAGAAGAUGGAGUGCCAUGGGUGAAAUGCUCCAUCACUGCAUCUCUUCUUGUUUUCUCACCAGGACCAGAUGUUGCUGUGCUCUCUUCAUCCUCAGUGACCCCAGAGCCAGCGAGAACAUCUAGAGAAAGACCAAAAGACACUGAGGAUGUGAGAUUGGUCAAGUUCAUUCUGCUGAUUUCUGUUCAUACAACAUCAGUCAAUAAAGCCUGAGUUUCAGAAGUUUCUAAAGUAUCAUCAAAUAAUGUCAUGAAGAAUCUGAAAGUCAGGCUCCAUUUACUGAUACUGUAUGAACACAAACCAGCAGGAGAAACUUGACCAAAAUUACCUUUUAUGUUCAGGCAAAGGAUUGAACAGAAUGGAGGCAAGUCAUUAAUGACUGAAUUUAUAUGUUUAGAUGACCUGACCCUUUAAAACCCCAAAUAGAAACUGUAUUAAAUGUAUGCAUGCAUUAAUAUUAUAGUAGAACAUUGAAGAAAAGAAGCUUUAAGAAAUAAGCAGCUUUAUUAAGCAUUUUUCUGCCCAAGACACAAAAAAAGCAUUCACAAAAUGCACAUUUACAUGUAUUAAUUUGUCAGACACUUUUAUC